rnacentral:lncRNA from 1 species
CCUUGGAGGGCCCCGACGCUGUCGUCUGUCUCACAGGAGACCCUGGCGGAGGUCUGGGCAGGCGAAAAGCCUUCCUGUUUGUUCUCUUAAUUAACACACUCAUUUCUGGCUCAGCCCUCUGUCCUUGGCAGUGACCCCUGGCCCCGAGGGCACGCUGCCUCCAGUGGGGCUUGCACAACCUGCAUGUUGCGGCCACUCAGCCUGCCCUGACUCAGCACAAACUUCCUCAUUCUCAGUCCUUCCAGAACAUUCUGACCUUGGCUACCGCGGGUGCUAUUGGGAGCAGCAGCCUUCACUGUGGAGGGAAGCUCAGGCUGUGUCUCUGAGCUCCACAGCCGCACAAGCCCUGGGUCCUCUGCCAUGAGGUAUGGUGCUGCCAGCAGCAGGGGCCAGGCAGGGGCCGAGGAACGGGCACACCAGGCAGGCAGACAAGUGCAGGCCCUCCGGCUCCUCAGGAAUCUACAUGUGCUCAGAAGGCGGUGGGGCAGAUGUCUCCGGAGACAGACAGAGAAGCCAACCAGAACGUUCAAGUGCUGUGAGCCGGCCUUGGUGGGCCGGAGUGUUAAUCACCGCACCGUCAUCCUCUCCAGGAGGCUGGGCGAAGGAAGACGCGGUUCACCAAUCCCCCAAAGGGACCUGCAGACCACUAUGCCGGCACAGAGUUCCGGUGCCACCCGGGCUGGCCCUGUCCUCUCAGGUGUGCUGCAGCAGGUGGGCGGGAUCGGGGCCCAGGCCUGUCUGGCCGGGCCGGUCCACGGCCUCUGCUCAGCAGCGGUGUCUUCAGGAGGACCCUGCUGCACUCACAGCGGCCGCGCGUGUCAUCUCUCUGGUUCUCCGUGUCUGUCCAUGACACGUCCUGUGCCGCCCGGGGCACCCGUGGACGUCUGCUGUCCGUGUCAUGGCUGA